GACGAACGCUGGCGGCGUGCUUAACACAUGCAAGUCGAACGGAAAGGCCCCUUUGGGGGUACUCGAGUGGCGAACGGGUGAGUAACACGUGAGUAACCUGCCCUUGACUUCGGGAUAACUUCAGGAAACUGGGGCUAAUACCGGAUAGGAAUCCUUGCUGCAUGGUGGGGGUUGGAAAGCUUCGGCGGUUUUGGAUGGACUCGCGGCUUAUCAGCUUGUUGGUGGGGUAGUGGCUUACCAAGGCUUUGACGGGUAGCCGGCCUGAGAGGGCGACCGGCCACAUUGGGACUGAGAUACGGCCCAGACUCCUACGGGAGGCAGCAGUGGGGAAUAUUGAACAAUGGGCGGAAGCCUGAUGCAGCAACGCCGCGUGCGGGAUGACGGCCUUCGGGUUGUAAACCGCUUUCAGCAGGGGCGAAGCUUGUGGUGACGGUACCUGCAGAAGAAGCACCGGCUAACUACGUG
rnacentral:rRNA from 1 species